UCUAGAAUAGAGCCUGAAAUAGGAGUUGCA
rnacentral:piRNA from 1 species